rnacentral:rRNA from 1 species
GACGUGAGAGGCAAGCGUUACUCGUCAUUAAUGGGUCUAAAGGGUACGUAGGCUGUAUAGAACAUCGGAUUUAGGACGUGAGAGUGAAUCUGUGAUAAUUCUAAACUAGAGUUAAAGAGAAGUAACAAAUAUACGAGAGUAGUGUAAUAAUACCUAGAUACUCGAGAGGUUGCGAGGCGGCGAAGCAUGUACUAUUGAUGACUGACGCUGAGGUACGAAGGCAUGGUAUCGAUCGGAUUAGAACUACCGUAGUCAGUCCAAGAUCCAG